rnacentral:rRNA from 1 species
UUCUUCGGAACUAGAGACCGGCGCACGGGUGCGUAACGCGUAUGCAAUCUACCUUUUACAGAGGGAUAGCCCAGAGAAAUUUGGAUUAAUACCUCAUAGUAUGUGAGAAUCGCAUGGUUUUCACAUUAAAGUUCCAACGGUAAAAGAUGGGCAUGCGUCCCAUUAGCUAGAUGGUAAGGUAACGGCUUACCAUGGCGACGAUGGGUAGGGGUCCUGAGAGGGAGAUCCCCCACACUGGUACUGAGACACGGACCAGACUCCUACGGGAGGCAGCAGUGAGGAAUAUUGGACAAUGGGCGCAAGCCUGAUCCAGCCAUGCCGCGUGCAGGAUGGCGGUCCUAUGGAUUGUAAACUGCUUUUGUACAGGAAGAAACACUCCCUCGUGAGGGAGCUUGACGGUACUGUAAGAAUAAGGAUCGGCUAACUCCGUGCCAGCAGCCGCGGUAAUACGGAGGAUCCAAGCGUUAUCCGGAAUCAUUGGGUUUAAAGGGUCCGUAGGCGGUUUAAUAAGUCAGUGGUGAAAGCCCAUCGCUCAACGGUGGAACGGCCAUUGAUACUGUUAAACUUGAAUUAUUAGGAAGUAACUAGAAUAUGUAGUGUAGCGGUGAAAUGCUUAGAGAUUACAUGGAAUACCAAUUGCGAAGGCAGGUUACUACUAUUGGAUUGACGCUGAUGGACGAAAGCGUGGGUAGCGAACAGGAUUAGAUACCCUGGUAGUCCACGCCGUAAACGAUGGAUACUAGCUGUUGGGAGCAAUCUCAGUGGCUAAGCGAAAGUGAUAAGUAUC